UACAGAGGUCUCAAGCGUUGUUCGGAUUCAUUGGGCGUAAAGGGUGCGUAGGUGGCGCGGUAAGUCGGGUGUGAAAUCUCGGAGCUUAACUCCGAAAUUGCAUCGGAAACUGCUCGGCUUGAAGGUGGGAGAGGGUAGCGGAAUUCCCGGUGUAGUGGUGAAAUGCGUAGAUAUCGGGAGGAACACCAGUGGCGAAGGCGGCUACCUGGCCCACUCUUGACGCUGAGGCGCGAAAGCUAGGGGAGCAAAGCGGG
rnacentral:rRNA from 1 species